rnacentral:rRNA from 1 species
GAUGAACGCUGGCUACAGGCUUAACACAUGCAAGUCGAGGGGAAACGACGGGGAAGCUUGCUUCCCCGGGCGUCGACCGGCGCACGGGUGAGUAACGCGUAUCCAACCUGCCUCUGACUGAGGGAUAACCCGUCGAAAGUCGGCCUAAUACCUCAUGGCAUCGUCUGCGGGCAUCCAACGACGAUUAAAGAUUUCAUCGGGCAGGGCUGGGGAUGCGUCUGAUUAGCUUGUUGGCGGGGUAACGGCCCACCAAGGCUACGAUCAGUAGGGGUUCUGAGAGGAAGGUCCCCCACAUUGGAACUGAGACACGGUCCAAACUCCUACGGGAGGCAGCAGUGAGGAAUAUUGGUCAAUGGGCGGGUGCCUGAACCAGCCAAGUAGCGUGCAGGAUGACGGCCCUAUGGGUUGUAAACUGCUUUUAUGCGGGGAUAAAGUGAGGGACGUGUCCUUCAUUGCAGGUACCGCAUGAAUAAGGACCGGCUAAUUCCGUG